ensembl:lncRNA
AAAAAAAACAAAAUUAAAAAUGUUCUGGGGCCCUCUCUCUUUCUCUUGUUACUCAAGCUGUCUCCAUGGUGACUUCAGCCGGGCCUGUGAGUCAUGGCUAAUAUCAGGGAGCGGCCAUGUUAAGGAGCCUCCGCAGCUCGUACCUCCCUCCCUCCGCCGUCGCCUGCACCGGCCGCUCGUGCGCUAGCCUGCACGGGUCAGGGUGACGCGAGCGACGGCCAUAUUUUGUCUGAGUGGACAUCUGUUUGUCAUCAGCAGCCCCUCUGCACAGAUUAAAUGUUAAUUAACGUCCUCGCACCGCUGAUGAACUUUCGCUGCUCUUGGUAAUAUUUUUUUUUGUCUUCCAUUAAAAAAAAAAAAAACGCAUUUCUUCUCCCCUUCUCUGUUCGUCUGUUUUGGACGUUCCUAAUCAGCAAGUCCCUCGGGGCGACCCUGCAGGCUGUGUGUCACCUCUGCUCCGCUACGGGGGAAAACAUGACAUCACUGCCGUGUCUUGACACCCCCCCCGGCCAAUAGCGCGCCAGAGAGGAGAGGGGGAGAGCCAAUCGUUCAGCUCACUGUUAGCUGUUAAGUCAUUUGAAGCCGUAGGAAAAGCCAGAGUCAAGAGUGCCUCCGGGUCUUAAAGCUGUCCAGAACGGGCUGUCUUUUUUUUUUUAUCUUCUCCCUUUUUCUUUUCUCUUUCUGGUUUUAUGUAGAGAAUCAAGCUGAAGUGUUACAGAGAGAAAGAAAAAAAACCACAAAAUAUGAACAGAGGCCAAAUUCUGGUUAAUAAAGGAACACGCCAUUGAUACCCCACAGCUAUCCGUUCGGUUCCAAAAAGCUUGACUGAUUCAAGGUGCCCUAGUGCCAGGCUUGUAUUCUUUCCUCCAGAAAAAAAAGACAACAUUGUUUCUUUCAUCCCAGAUACAUUCAUGCUUGCCUAAAUUAUGAAUGCUGUAUGUCGCAUGGAGCGAAAGACGGAGGGCAAGCUGUGAGCUCUGUUGACCAGACACGCUGGUGCUCCAAACUCAAGCCACAUUUGCGUUACGACGACGUUAAAGCCAUGCUUCCCCGACGGGCGAAGAGCUCUAGCCUCCAUUAGCUUCGUUAAACCGCCGUCCAAAACACAUAAAUACACAAAAAAUGUUUCUUAUUUCUGUUCAAAUAAAGUUUACUGCUCGGGCCCGCGCACAAAAAAAAAAAAAAACCCACGCUGGGUUAAUCUCAAACACAAAGAGCAGCGCUGUCAGAGAUCCGAGGUUCCGCAUGCCCGCACGGAGUGGCCCGCGGGGCCAACCCGGGAACAGAGCGGUGGUUCUCUCUGGUGGAGGCAGGGGAAGUUUGAUGCCGGGGCUCCUUGCGGUGCGGAGACGCCGAGACGACCGGUCUUCAGGCCCCGAAAGGGGAGACGCUGCCCUGAGUGUGAUUGUUGGCCUGAGCUGCUGUUUUUGUUUCACUCUGUAGAGAUCUUGCCUUCGCACCAUUACUUAUUCUGUCUGGAUUUGUUUCUCUCUCUUGCCUUCUCCCUCUCUCCAUCCAUCCAUCUAUCUAUCUAUCUAUUUUCAUCCUCUCUCUUCCUUUCUUUUUUCUUUCCCUCUGUCUCUAUCUGUCUAUCCUUGUUUCAUCUCUCUAUCCCCCCCCCUCUGUUUCUCUCUCUUUCUCUCAGGCGGCAGCACAGGGACGUCCCCCACCACCUCCAGUACGGGCACCCCCUCCCCGUCCGGUGCGGCCCACCUGCUCUCCCCGUCCUGCUCCCCCCCGACCUUCCACCUGGCGCCCAACACCUUCAACGUGGGCUGCCGCGAG